UAUGUGCAUGUAUAACUGCUUCGGUUAAGUAUAGAAAUUGUUCAUUUCGUUAACGUUGAUCAUCAUUACAGUACAGUUUAUCACUGUUUAUUUUUAAUUCAAUGAACCAUUUUAUUAAAAUAAUUUUUAUGUAUGAAAAAAAAUUAAAUUUUGUGGCUAUUAAAAUAAUUCACAAAAUUAUCUAGUUUUGACUCAUUUAUUUCAAAGAGUGAAAAUAAUUUACCAAUCAAUAUGAAACUUGAAUACAUAUUUGGAUUAACUCAGACCAAUAGCUUAUUUUUUUGUAGAAUCUGCAUGACAAAACAUAAGCUUAAUAAGUUUUAAUUAUGUCUAGUCAUAAAAUUUAGAAGAAAAAAGAAGUGCAAGUUUUACUAUACUCAUCAGACUUAAGCUAUCAAGAGAGCUAUCCGUCGACAGUAUAAUGAUUGACUACACUGUCAUGGAGUUGCUCUCUUUAUGGAAAAGUCUAAUAACACAUAAUUUACAAAUUAAUAAUAGUAUAAAUUAACAACAAAAUGUACAAUUGUAGUUCUAAUAAUUAUUUUUCUAGCUGUAUGUAUAUUUAAAUGUUAUUAUUAUUAAUUUUCCAAUAAUAAUAGAACAGUUAUUAUGAUUUUUUUUUCAUGCAAUUUAUUACAAUACAUUUUUUUUUAUUUUUUGAUAAUAACAUAAAAUUAAAAUUGGAUACUAAAAGAUUAAAAAAUAAAUAUUUAUGUUAAUAAAAUUGUUUUUCAGGAAAAUAAGGUCACUUCUUGUCUCAUUUUUUCUUUCAGAAAGAAAUAAAACAAUGCAAACCUGGGAAGGUGUUAA